UGCCCCUGCAAGUUGCAGUUAGUUCUCAUGGAAAUCAGUGGAACAUGUCACAUUGAUUUCCAUGAGAACUAACUGCAACUAGCUGAUUUA
rnacentral:miRNA from 1 species